GUCUAUCACAAUAUACCAGGGAGCCACCCAAUAUCUACCUUGAAGAUUCUGACACUUUGAAACGACAGUGUCAUAGAUUUGAGAAGAAGAGUUAUAGGUUAAGUCAACGGUGAGCCUGAUAAUCCGGUGAAGAGGUCUUGAAGAAAAUGGAUUUCAAAGAAAUUGUGAUGGAAGAAUGAUAUUCAUUUACUUGAGAUUGAGUUGGAAGAACGAUUUGAAACUUAAUUUUUACGAUUUUGUGAGACGACAAAUGAAA
rnacentral:lncRNA from 1 species